GAAAUGUGUAAUGAGGUCACGUUGUACUACUCUCCCUCAAGUCAAUUUAAGUCUACCCAUUUUUUUCUUUCUCCUUGUCUAACUAGAGUCUCCGUAUAUCUACGCUUUACAUGACCAAAACCACCUCAAUGAAAACAUGCAUGCUAAUUGAUCUAUUGUAAUAGAUCCAAAUUUUAUUAUGAUAUUUUCAUUACAGUCUCUCUCUCUCUCUCUCUC
rnacentral:misc_RNA from 1 species